GAAUCUGGCUCCAGGUCGGGGACAACAGUUGGAAACGACUGCUAAUACCGGAUGUGCCGAGAGGUGAAAGAUUUAUUGCCUGGAGAUGAGCUCGCGUCUGAUUAGCUAGUUGGUGUGGUAAGAGCGCACCAAGGCGACGAUCAGUAGCUGGUCUGAGAGGAUGAUCAGCCACACUGGGACUGAGACACGGCCCAGACUCCUACGGGAGGCAGCAGUGGGGAAUUUUCCGCAAUGGGCGAAAGCCUGACGGAGCAAUACCGCGUGAGGGAGGAAGGCUCUUGGGUUGUAAACCUCUUUUCUCAGGGAAUAAAAAAAUGAAGGUACCUGAGGAAUAAGCAUCGGCUAACUCCGUGCCAGCAGCCGCGGUAAUACGGAGGAUGCAAGCGUUAUCCGGAAUGAUUGGGCGUAAAGGGUCCGCAGGUGGCAAUGUAAGUCUGCUGUCAAAGAAUGAGGCUUAACCUCAUCAAGGCAGUGGAAACUACAUAGCUAGAGUACGGUCGGGGUAGAAGGAAUUCCUGGUGUAGCGGUGAAAUGCGUAGAGAUCAGGAAGAACACCGGUGGCGAAAGCGUUCUGCUAGACCUGUACUGACACUGAGGGACGAAAGCUAGGGGAGCG
rnacentral:rRNA from 1 species